UUUAACAUAAAGCGAAAGGAACUAGAUGGGGUUAAUUUCUGGACAAGGUACUCAGGGACAUCUUUGUGAUAGCAGUGGCAUUGAAGCUAAGUUUUAAAAAUAAUACUAGAGAAAUUUCCAAAUCUUAGAAUAAAGAAUACCACCUUAAACAUGACAGAAAACCGAGAAGCAUAGAGGAAAAAAUGUUAACUAAUUAAAGCUAUAAAACUUUUGAAUGGCCAAAAAAUGUUUUAAGCAAAGCCAAAGCAAACAGCAAACUGGAAAACUUAUUUGCAGUUUUCUUACUAUAAAAAGAACACUUAAAAAUCAAUACGUAAAAGACAGCCAUCCAAUAGAAAAAUGGGCAAAGAAAAUAAACAGAUGAAAGGGAAAGAAAUGUAAAUGGCCAAUAAAUAUGAGAAAAUAUUCUCUUACUCAUAAUUUUAAAAAUACCAAUCAAGCAAGAAGGAGACACCAUCUGUUACUUAUGGAAACAUGUGAAAAUGUGAUAAUAUCUAAUAGUGAUAGUUAAGGUGUGGGAAAAGAGGCACUUUUCUGGAUUGUUGAUGAGAAUGCAAAUUUGUACAGCCUUUUAAAAGGGCAAUUUGGAGCCAUUUCUCAAAUUUGUAUAUAUCCAUGACUUAUAGACAAGCUGUCAUAGGGAGGGGAGCCUGGGAUACAGACUCUGAGGUGGAGAUAAGCCUGUAGGGAUGCUCUCAGGUUAAGAACUAUGGGAGGCAAGGAAAGUAGACAGGAUUGGACUGAGGGAGAAGUUGGGAGAGGUAGUUUCAUUGAAGACCUCAGGUCUUCAGGAGGAGCUCUGAAGCUGGGAAGAUCCUUCAGGGUGGUCCCAAUUUACAGUGAGAGGGCUGGGUCUUUACACCCCCGGCAGGAGCCAGUCAUUAGAGUAGAGCUGCCCAGAGAAGGAAGUGAGACAAUUAGUGUGGGGAUUUCCUCCUUCUGAGGCAGCUCGAGAAGCAGGCUGAUAGCUGAGGAUCAGUACUCCGGGCAUCUGAAGAAGAGGCCUUCAGUCCUGAAAGGGAGCCUGAGUGGCACAUCUCAGCCCUACAGCAGAGAGCCUCACAAGUGGGAAGAAGGAAUGAACUGAAGAUGUAAGACAAAGAAGUGGUCAUUGAGGGGACAAGACCCCAGGGCAGGAUGGAGGAAACAGGAUCACUAAGUAGAUUCAUUAGGGUUAGAAAAGAGGACACCUCUUCUCUGUACAGAAGAGAAAGGGUCCAAAAAAAAAAAAAAAAAAAAGAGCAACUUGGAUAUGAAGAGAGACUGGCAUACGAUAGAUUCCCUUUUCUUAGGAAAGUAAGGGGUAAGGUAAUUUACUGAGAAUGAAGGGAGAUGAGGUAGGGUUGAGGAAUCAGAGUGACAAGGGUGUUGAUAACUGCUAUGGGAGUUCAUUAUUGAAGAGUAGGGACAGCCCUUGGAGGGGCUCGAGGGCCAGGAGUGGCACACACACCUGCAUGCACCACACUGUGCUUCCUGUCCUACAAGCAUGGUGGGACCAAUGGGGCCACAGGCUUCUCCACAGAGACAUCCCCUCCCAGGGGCAGAGUUAACAGUUCAAUCAGAUGUUUCCUAGAGUGAACAAUGGAAGGCAGGACGCCCCAUCCCCCAAUCUGGAAUGGACUUCCCUUUAGCCAGCUGCAGAGCUGUGGUCUUAGGUUUACUAGAGGGAGGUGAAUAAGCCAUCUCAUUGCAGAGUCUCCGAUUUUGGUAUCUUUUUAUCUCUUCUCUUGGAUUGGCCAUUUCCUCCAGGGAAGCUGUGUCCAAUGUCCUGCCUAGAGUCUAUCCAUUUGGCUGUGUUCUGGGAAGAAGGGGGCUUGACUUGGGGGAUUUCCGCUGUUAAAAGGGCCAUGUCUCUGCUUUCCCCACCGGAUGCUUACCAUUCAGGUUAUGGAACCACAUUUUGGUGACUUCAAUGCCUUUGAGAGAAUUGCCUUAGUACAUCAAGAAAGAAAGAAUCAUAAAAGUGUUCACUCAGGGGGCCAGCAUUCAUGGCUCUGGCUUCAGCAUAUUUUACCUAUUAGACCAGUUUCAAAUUCAAAUUUCACAUGAGGACCUCUGAUGGAUGAAACCUACAUCACGUUUGAGACUCUAGCUGCAAGGGAGUCAGAAAAACACAGUUCCUACCUCUUCUUGGCAAUAAGGAAAAGGCACGAUGAGGAGUUAGGAACCGCGACUAAGCAAGGCAAUGUCCCGUGUCUACCAUUACUAUUAUUCAGUGAACAAGAACUUGAUGAAUUUCUACAUUAUGGGAUACAGAAGAUUAGACGUAUGUUUUUACUGGUUUGUAUAAUAGCAAUACUUCUGUGGGCUCUUUCAGAGCUAGAGUUCUUCUCAGCAUGAGGACAGAAUUCCAAGGAACCUACCGACAUUGAAGAGUCAGGUGGAAAGGGAGAAGCAGGCAAAGGACAGGAAGGAGGAAUGACCAGAGAAUGGGGAGAUACCCACAAAAUGCGGGAUUAAGGAAACCUAAGGGUACAGAAUAUUUUAAGAAGGGGAGAGAAGUCAACUUCCAGAUGCUGCUGAGACCUAAGUAAAAUAUGAGCCGAAAAGCGCUUUGGGGACCUUAGCAGGAUUAGCUUCAGUGACGUGGCAGGGGUGGAAGCCAGAUUAAAAUGCUUUUGGAGUGAGGAGGCAG